UCCCGGGCCGCGCCUGCGCCGUGUGCGGUGCGGCCGCGGUGGGCUGAGCGGCGCCAAACGGUGCUGGGUGUCCCGGCUCCUUGCCGAAUCCUCGCUGCGUGCCUGCGCUCUGCAGGCUGAGAGAGGGUGCGCAUCCGGCCCCCACAGGCCUGCAAGGCAUUUAGUCUUCCAGGUAUUCCGCAUUGCGGUGUAGGCCCUCCCCCUCCCCCCCCUCCGUUCUCCGGGGCAAAGGGGAAGCAGGGAUGGCCCGCCCUUGCUGCGAUGACGCUGCUAGACGAGCACAUGUCACGCCCACCUACCUUUCCACGACUGACCCGGUGGCACAGGCUGCUCUCAGUCGGAUACCUAGUGACGUUGCACGCAGUACUCACGUCAUUGGAGUGAAUGCGGGCUCGCACCACCCGAUGCGGGGCACGAAGGGGCGACCCGGCCUGACGGAGACCAUUCUGCACGGUUGGGCUCAGUGUCUCAUGUGCAUGACGUGCGCAGGCGAUGAUGACGACGCCCCGACACGGCACGGCGCAGACGGAGCCACGGAGACGUCCCCGCGCGUCACCCUGGCGCUCGACUGCGUCAUGUGCGACUGGGGCACCGCCCCCCGCGGCGACCCGGAUAGCGCAGCAAGGGGAGGGAAGGCGGGAUCGUCCAUGCCGUCGCGCCCACCACAACCCCACCACACGGACGCACAACUGCAGAGUAUCCGUCAAGGAUGCAUCACAGCCGGUGCCUACUAGCAGCAGCCACCGAGAAAGCUGCCCCAUGUGGUAAGGCCGCUUGUAGACUGCUCUGGACGCGGAAACUGACGCACAUGAAAGCCGCCCUUGAUGCGGUGCCCUCUGCGUCGCCGGUGCGCUGCCUUCUCGCGGGUAUGCUCCUGAAAGAGCUCCGAGGAACCAGGGUUGAGGGAUGGGUGCAGGCCUGCAACGCUCUCACCGCCAGAGGCUCUCGAUAGUGGGCGUGGAUACGGGCUAUUCAUGCUCCCUCCCCUCCCCUCUCCCCACACCACCACUCAUUCUGCAUGUGCGCUGUGCGCGCCAGCGACGAGACAGGGUGACCGCUACCUCUGCGCGAGAGAGCAGGCCAACAUGUUGGUGAAGAUGUACCUAGAGACGUCGGCGCACCAUCUGGAAGACACACCUGAACUGCAGCAGUCCGGCUCCCGUCCUUACCGCUCGCCUGCGCUCACGACUCACAUGGAGCAGCCGAGGAGCCCCCGUUUCCGUGCGGAGUCCCACAAAGGUGUGCCCGAGGGCCUCGCGUCUUCAUUGUGGCGUGCCCGCGGCGUGUGGAGCUCCACCCGAUCACCGAACUGCGCCGUCGGGUCCUCCAGACUCCCAUGUGGAGGGUCGCCGCAUCACAUUGUGGAAUGCCGCGGCCUGAGGCGCCUUCCUGCUCGAGCUCACCCGGCAUGUACGCCGGCCACCCACCUCUUUCCUCCCCCUACCGUGUUACCCGCGGCACGGACACCCCCGCCACUGCCGUGGAGCAGGGCCCUGGACGCGGCCCGGUGCAACUGCAGCCGGCCCGCCCUCGACGACCAGGAUGUGGGCGUCGCGCGACAAUGGCCGGGUGAACUGUGUUUAGGUGCGUGUGUAGUUGUGGGCUCGUUCAGGAUGCAAGGUUACGUCGGAACUCAGUGAAAAGAUGUAUGGUUUUGUGCUUAUUCAGUGGAGGAUCGGUUUUCUGUACGCCUAGCUUUCGCGUAUGUGCCGCUGGCCGUCUCCGGAGAAAGUCUAUUCUGUGCUUCGGUGCCAUGUGAGCGUGACGGGGAUUCGGUUCCUGUUGUAGAUUUUUUUUGGGUGUGCUUGUCGUGUGUUCUUCGACGCUGUCUCGAAUAGGCGCUGGAGGUCAGUCUUGUUGAAUACCUUGUAGCGUAAGUUAGGACAGCAAGAUCGUUUUCGAUUCUGGUUUCAGGCGAGCUAUGUGAGGAGAUUGGGGCUCUCGGCGAAGAGAAGCGAUGUCUGUCUCUCAAGGCAUCUUUAUCAGUGAGCGAGGUUGGGCGCGCCAGUGGCAACGACCACCAAAAUGCGUCUCUACGUCAGCGAAACGUCAGCUACGCAGUGUGAGCUGACAGUGUCUGUUCGGCUACGUGCACUACCAAAGCGGCGUGAGAACGAUCGGGCCGUGCUCUGGGCAUGUCCGAGCUGCGGUUUUCCCUGUCUGUGUGUGCGCGCGCGUUUUCUGCUUUGUGGCUGUGUGUGUGUGUGUGUGUAUGCCUGCACCAUUUAUGAUGAUAAAGUCCUCUCUACUACUGCUAGCGUCCGAUGCGUCGCUGACGAUCACCGUUUGAACUUCAUCUUUCGCUCCGAUCUGAGGGCGCACUUGCCUUGUCUGUGUGUGUGUGCGUGUGCCUAGGUGUGGCGCUGGCCGCUGCUGUAUGACGUCACCCCAACCGCUGCUCAUACGUCGUUGCCCAUCGUAUAGCGGUGAUAUUUGUGGACGGAGAUGGCGCGCGAGUGCAUGCUGGUGUGUGCGUGCGCGCUCUGCUGCGGGUAGCGCGCGGGUGCGUGAGUGUUGCUGCUCCGCCUCGCUGGUGCAUCUUUCGUGUGGUGGGGUCGCUCUCCGACGGGACGCGUCUCUGGUGAGCUCGAAACUCUUAUCGCACUGCUAGACUCGAAGCGUGUGCCAGUGGGGACUGCUGCUGUUGGCGCGUGCGCCUGGCUGCUAGGCCUGUGUAUCUGUCUUUCUCUCGCUCUCUUGUGUGUCCCGCCGUGUGCGCCGCGUGAUGCCAUGCAGGUAUGCUCCUUUGCCGUAGCGCUCCGGCGCUGUGCCGACAGACAUACCACACUCUAUCCCAAUGCUUAAUUCACUUCAGCUGAGGGCGCCACUCGGUGGCAAUGUCGGACAGUCUGUGUGUGUGUGUGUGUGUGCUGUGCGCACCAGGGAAUGGCGGCUGUGGUGGGCCUCGCACUUGUUGGCGGAGGACGGGUCUUCCCCGGAUGAAAGCGACGCAUCAAAGAUAACAUUUUCCCUUUGCUGCCUGUGGCGCGAACCGCAGCACUGCGGUCUUGCCGUAGGAGCCGCAGUACGCGCAGGGUGCGAGGCAAUGUGCCUCUCUGCACGAACGCAUCACUGCCAAGGAUCGCUCCGAUGUUCCCGUUUCCUUCUCUGCGCUCUCGUAGUGUGGGAUCUUCGAACUCUCUGCACAUCUUGCGAAGCGGAGCCUCUCUUGAUUUUUUUUUGCGAUUGAGCGAGAAUAUCUAUCCGGUAAAAACUCAAG
rnacentral:misc_RNA from 1 species